UACGGGGGGGGCAAGCGUUGUUCGGAAUUACUGGGCGUAAAGGGCUCGUAGGUGGCCAACUAAGUCAGACGUGAAAUCCCUCGGCUUAACCGGGGAACUGCGUCUGAUACUGGAUGGCUUGAGGUUGGGAGAGGGAUGCGGAAUUCCAGGUGUAGCGGUGAAAUGCGUAGAUAUCUGGAGGAACACCGGUGGCGAAGGCGGCAUCCUGGACCGGUAUUGACGCUGAGGAGCGAAAGCGUGGGGAGCGAACAGG
rnacentral:rRNA from 1 species